rnacentral:lncRNA from 1 species
CUCUUCCCCUCCCCUCGUCUGCAGUAUUUUUGUUAACAAAAGGAUACGCUGGCUUAUAGAAUCGCUGGGCAUUUUCAUGCAACCUCUGCGGGAGAGCUAGUAAAAUACCGUGUAUUGUAGCUGAGAAAAGGAGUUUCUGGGCCGCCAGCGUUUUGCAGAAGUCCCUCCGUGCUAGCCUUGUGCACUAGGAACAGCAGAGAUUGACCAAAGAAGAGCAAAUAGUGCAUGCAGCCCUGCUGUCCCGGAAACCCCUACCUUCCCACACCGUACGCAAGGACAGCGGUCGCCGGGAGACACCCCUAUGAUGCCUGUCACCUGCAGCGAUGGGAUCAAAUUCUAUCACAGCAACCUCCAGGGAGGCUCUAGGAAAGGCUCCUUUCCUUGGCUGCUUCACGCAAGCGUGCAAGAGAGCUGCACCCCUUCCAAAAACUCGCCCUUUGCGAUACAGUGUGCCGGGGUAGCACAAGCACUCUGACUGACUCCAACACGCUCUACCAUUUACCGCUAUCCGAGUUGAUUUGCAAAGUGAACAGGUCUCUUAAGUGCCAAACAGAUACAGGUAGAUGAUACAGGCAGCUAAUUGAAGAGCUAUCUCCUCUAAACAGACUGGUGUAAACUAAUUACAUGAUGUAGCACAUGCUGCCACCUACGUGUUGUGAUUCAGAUUUCUUGUGCACUGCAGCUUCGCAGUUGUAGGCAUCCUCCCUCCGCUGAAGGCAGCGACAGCGUUUUGUGAGACGCAGCUGCCUGCUACGCGAGGGGACCACAAACACAAGCGGCCGUGGCUGCGCUAGGGAACAAGGCAAAACAUUUCGCGCCGGUGCAGCCACUUGUCCGGUUGCAGCGAGGAUGCCUCAGCGUAGACCAGCACCCAGCAGUCACAUCGGCGAAACGAGAAGAACUUGUUUCUUUUCAAUAUCUGGCUGCCAAAGGGAACAUGCUGUUUACUGGACUCAGGACCAAGGCAGGGCAAGAACAAAGAGCAGGUCUUGCAGGGACUGAGAAGAUUUUACAUACAGACAUUAAAAUAAAAAAGCAAAAUGUAACCAGGCACAAAGUCCAGCAGGAAUCUAGCAACGAGUGGACAGCACAACGUGUAAAAAAGGGUAUCUAGGCAAGGAUGGCAAAAGGAUCCUCUGAAUAAGCUCA